AAGCAAAGUACCCAAUAGCUUUUGUUCAGUAGGGAACUAGUUUUCUACCUGAGAGAAUCUGUAGGUUUGCAUACAUCUUAGAAACUUGGCGGUUGGAUGUGGAUGCAUUUAGAUCUGGGAGAGAAUAAAUAGACUGUGUCAAAUUUGAAACACUUCCAAUUACUGCUUGUUUCCUGUCAGAGGACAGCUUAUUUGGAGUCCAAUAGUGUCGAGAGCUGUCAGCUUGAAGCUAGCAAGAUUUGGAUACCAGCUGUUCUCACUUCAUACCAAGAUCCAGAGAGUGGCUAGGAUCUUCUGAUGAGAUCUCCCACAUGUCUUUGUUGGUAAUACAAGAGCUUGAUUGCAGUAUAUUCCGGGAAAUCCUUCUGGACUGGGAAGUGAUAAAAUGGAGACAAUAUCUCAGAUUCUUCUGAGGAUCAAAGAGAAACACUGACUUUCUCUGCACUGCACGAGGGCAAUGAGGCUGGUGUAGUCUUUGGAUCCAGU